rnacentral:rRNA from 1 species
UACGUAGGCAGCGAGCGUUGUUCGGAGUUACUGGGCGUAAAGCGUGCGUAGGCGGUGUCUUAAGUUUGUUGUGAAAUCUCCCGACUUAACCGGGAGGGUGCGGCGAAUACUGAGAUGCUGGAGUGCCGGAGAGGUAAGCGGAAUUCCUGGUGUAGCGGUGAAAUGCGUAGAUAUCAGGAGGAACACCUGCGGUGUAGACGGCUUACUGGACGGUAACUGACGCUGAGGCACGAAAGCGUGGGUAGCAAACAGG